CUGGAGAACCACAGAGUGGACAGACUGCCGCGUUGAUCCUUUGCUCAGCCAGCAGGACAAGAGGCGAGGAAAUCAGACAGCGCUGUGCGGGGGCGGCCUUCAAACCCGGGAGGUGUACUGCGUGCACGCUAAUGAAAACCUCCUCUCCUAUUUAAAUACACUCAAGGAAAAAGAAGAAAGUCAGUCACAGAGCAAGCCGAAGUCUAGUGCUGCACCUCUGCUAUCGAUCACUUUUGAAAUAACAGCUUCUCGGCCUGUGGACCGCAAGCUGUGCACAGGACCUCUGCCCAGCACCAGUCAGCUGUGCCACAUCCCCUGCCCCAUAGAGUGCGAGACCUCGGCGUGGUCAGCCUGGGGACCGUGCACCUAUGAAAGCUGUGAGGACACGCAGGCCAAG